GUCUUACUCAAGACGAUGUGUUGGAAGAAGUAUCAGCAACUCGGUCAUCCCCAUACCGCAAGAAGACAGUUAGUUUUAGUAGCACGACGUCUGGCAGCUACAAGACUGCACGUGAAUACGACAGUGACAAUCGGGCCACUGAUACCGACUACUUUUCUCCCGAUGAAGACGACGACGAGUUCUUUGAUCUCUCACCUGAAGAUGGUUCAGUACUGAUUACGUAUGGAGACUCCUUUGCAUCACCUACCGACAUCGAACGAAUAUCACCAGUGUCUCAAGAAGAAGAUGAAGAUUUCUUGCUUUUCUUGCAUAAGGUUGACCAGCUCCUUGAAGGGACGACUGAAGAUCAAUCAGAAGUAUACACUAUGAUGAAGAGUAAGGAAUAUAAGUAUUCAAAAAAUGCUGAAUUCCUGUGGCGAUUAGCAAAAGCGACAAGAAAUAUGGCAACGAUUCAAGAAAAACUUGGUGUUUUAGAAGAAAAGGAACGUUUGAUUAAUGAAGCUUUUGAAUAUGCAAAAUAUGCACUACAGUUGCAUGAAGACAGUGCUGAUGUACACAAGUGGUAUGGUAUCUUGGCUGGGGCAAGAGGAGAGUACAUGGGGGUAAAGGAUCGCAUCGAGAGUGGAAAUGUAUUUAAGGAACACAUUGACAAAGCGCUGCAGAUCAACCCUAAGGACUCAACGUUGCACCACUUGUUGGGCCGUUUUUGUUUCGAGGUCUCUCAGCUCUCCUGGAUAGAAAGAAAGGUAGCAAAAACCAUCUUUGGUAAUGUUCCUACCUCCUCAUUCAGUGAGGCCUUGCAGCAUUUCAUGGCAGCUGAGGAACUAAGACCGACAGACUGGAAGGAGAACCGCCUCUUUAUAGCCAAGUGCAACAUUCAAUUAGGGAAUUUUUCUGUGGCAUCAACUUGGCUCAGGCAGGCAGCAGAUGUUCCUAUUAUUACACCAGAUGAUGAGAUUGUACAUAAGGAAGUGUUGGAACUACAUGGAAAAUACUCCUCAUACCUUGAGUUUUAGGUUUAAUAGGUCAAGUCUGGCAAUUGACAUAAGUAAAAUUUAAAAUUUAUAGGUGCAAAGACAGUAGGAAAUGAAUCCUGCAGUAUGUUAACUGUUAACUAUUUUAAUAUAAACACAUUUAGAAGGUAAGGAAAGACAGGAAUUUAAAUUCUCACCAUGUUUUCUAGUUAGCAAAAUAUUGUCUUGAGGUUAAUUCAUUGUUAUAGAGAAGGGUGACAUACAAGGCUUUGAUAUGUUAAUUAAGAGAGAAAUUAAGUUUCCUGGUUGAAAUGUCCAUUAUUUUAGUACAAGAAGUUGUUAAAAACAAAAAUAACAAAAUUAUAAAACCAUGAUGAUGUUUGAGAUGUAAUGACAAUAUAGUAACAAGAAUUGUUUUACAAAGUAAUAAUUUUUUAAGCCACAGGCAAAUAUGUCCUUUAUCAGGCAUGUGUAAAUGCUUUUAAGGUAAUAUUUUUGUGAGUUACGUUGCUAUUUCAACCAUAGUAUCUGUGAUGUUAUUAUAUAGGAUAUUCAUUUCUGUUUUUGGAUAAGAAAUACAACAAAAAAAGAUCUUUAAGAAUUGUGAUAUAUAUAGUUGAUUUGUUAUAUACAUUCUGAAAGUGUAUGAUUAUGUCAGUCCAUAGGGGAGUGUUUGUUGUUAUCUUUUUCUUUAUUGUUAAAUGUGUUAAGUGGGUGCAUGAAUGCAUGAGUGAGUUAAAUAGGGUAUUGACUGAUUAUCUAACAGAUUAAGAAUUUGUUUGGCUUGACUUAAUGACUAAUUGACUGACAGAGAGAGAACGAGAAUGAGAGCAUGAAAAAGGAAUGGGAGGAGAAAUGUGACAGUGGUAGGUUAUUAGGCAAAGGCUUGUAAGUAACCCUAAUGUAUGCAGAUUUGUACAUGAUGUUGUAUCAUUAUAGUCUUUAUUUGCCUAUUCUAAAUUAUGUGAAUUUCAGUGAGAUUUAGUUUUAUUUAAGGGAUAUCUCUAGACCCAUCUUUCUUUUUUUUUCUUCUUCUUUUUUUCUUUUACCCUAACCUAAUUGUAGAUAGUUGAAUAACAACAUACAUAAAGAUGGAUGCAUUUAUUUUGGUACAUCCUGGUAAAAAAUACAAUUUUCAUAUGAGUGCGCUGGAAACAAAUCGUCCUUCUAGGAAAUGUUUUAACGUCAGACGAGGUGAACAGCCAAACAGCAGACUAAAGCUUAUGGAUUGCGAAUUGGUUAAUAUUUCAUCUGGUUCAUUACACUCUUUGGAAGAAAUUGACAACAGAGAUGUUGUGGAGGAAGGGGUUGUGCUGCAAGAGGAGUUUAAGCCAGAAUACAACUCAGAUGAAAGCCCAGCAGAGAACAUGAUGCUGCCUACAAGAUUUUGACUAUUGGUGUGAAUGUGGCCACUGUGAAAUUAUGGCAACUUCUCAAGAAUGGAUGUUGUAAAUCCACAAAUAUUGUACAGCAGGAAACACAGGAAUGGGCCAUAGAAAAUGAAGAAUUUCAGUGCAUUACACAGCAUCUAGCAUUCAAAGGUGGUUGCCUAAAUGUGUAGGCCUUAGAAAUAGCCUACCUGGCCUACAAACAGCAGCUCAACCAGAAUUCACAAUUAAUUGACAAUCCUGACUAAGUCCAUUCCCACGCCAUUUCAUUUUUGCCUUCUGUGAAUUAUCCUUCACUAUCUCACCAUGAAUUAAUUUCAGUGCUGCAACAGGAUUCAAUAGUUUUCAAUUCAGGUAACAAUGACAUUUUCAUUUUACUUUUCAUUCUUCUUUUUCAGGAUGUAUCUGUUCGUGUAGUGUUCUGAUAUCACACACUGACGAUUUACUACAGCCAUACAAUACACACGUGUACACCAUUAUUAUUAUACACAACAACUUGUGAAAGGGAUAACAAUAUAGCUACUUGCAAUGGCACUUCACAGCACAAUGGAGGCGAGCUGAACAGCACUGCGGAAGUGUGGCCUUGUGAUGGUGUAAACACUAUGUGAUGUUACACACCUCAGGCACUCAAGGCCCGAAGCACUUGUUAGUUUAGUGGGGCAGGCACAUUAUCAACGGAGAUUAUGUUAAGACUACUGGUCAGAUUGGUAUUGCUGGUUCAUAGUCUAUUUCAGAUGAUUACAAGGAGUAAGUUUGGGCUAGAUAGCUAGAUGGGACUAUUAAGUCUGGAGUUACCCUUUAUAGAAGUUUAAAUAUUUUCUUGUCAUCUACUAACAGUCUACAUCAUAAAAUUUGAUCAUGUUAAAAUUUUAUGCGCAUGCAUAUAUUUUAGAUUUUCUAUUAUUUUACUGAUUCUCUUUCAAUAGUGAAUAUUUAUAUGUAUUUAUUUUUGGUGGGGGUUUGUUAUUACUUUGGUCGUUUGUUGUUAGUAUAUUUAUUUGUGUGUCUGUUGGUUUGUUAGUAUAGCAAUCACUUUGGUUGUACAUCCAAAAGAUUUUGUUGUGAAAUAUUGAAAGAAUGUUUCCAUUAAUAUCUCCAAGUUGACAAUAUUCUUGGGUAACAUGUAUGACUGAAAUCAUAGAAUUUUUUUUCUUCAUGUCAGAGUCUUAUCCCUAAAUGCUAUACAUAUAGACACACAUACUCACAUGUAUGGACGCGUGCACAUAUGCCCACAUACUCACACUCACACACGCACACGCACACGCACACGCACACGCACACGCACACGCACACGCACACGCACACGCACACGCACACGCACACGCACACGCACACGCACACACACACACACACAC
rnacentral:misc_RNA from 1 species